rnacentral:rRNA from 1 species
ACGUAGGGACCAAGCGUUGUUCGGAUUUACUGGGCGUAAAGGGCGCGUAGGCGGUGCGGUAAGUCACUUGUGAAAUCUCUGAGCUUAACUCAGAACGGCCAAGUGAUACUGCAGUACUAGAGUGCGGAAGGGGCAAUCAGAAUUCUUGGUGUAGCGGUGAAAUGCGUAGAUAUCAAGAGGAAUACCUGAGGUGAAGACGGGUUGCUAGGCCGACACUGACGCUGAGGCGCGAAAGCCAGGGGAGCAAACGGGAUUAGAUACCCCGGUAGUCCUGGCCCUAAACGAUGAAUACUUGGUGUCUGGAGUCUUUAAUGCUCCGGGUGCCGUCGCUAACGUUUUAAGUAUUCCGCCUGGGGAGUACGCUCGCAAGAGUG